UAGGGAAUCUUCCGCAAUGGACGCAAGUCUGACGGAGCAACGCCGCGUGAGUGAAGAAGGAUUUCGGUUCGUAAAACUCUGUUGUUAGAGAAGAACAGCGCAUAGAGUAACUGUUAUGCGUGUGACGGUAUCUAACCAGACAGCCACGGCUAACUACGUGCCAGCAGCCGCGGUAAUACGUAGGUGGCAAGCGUUGUCCGGAUUUAUUGGGCGUAAAGCGAGCGCAGGCGGUCAAUUAAGUCUGAUGUGAAAGCCCCCGGCUCAACCGGGGAGGGUCAUUGGAAACUGGUUGACUUGAGUGCAGAAGAGGGGAGUGGAAUUCCAUGUGUAGCGGUGAAAUGCGUAGAUAUAUGGAGGAACACCAGUGGCGAAGGCGACUCUCUGGUCUGUAACUGACGCUGAGGCUCGAAAGCGUGGGUAGCAAACAGG
rnacentral:rRNA from 1 species